rnacentral:ncRNA from 1 species
GACGACGAGGUAGAUAGGUUGGAGGUGGAAGUGCAGCAAUGCAUGGAGCUGACCAAUACUAAUCGGUCGAGGGCUUAUCCAA